GGGUGUGAGGGCGAUCUGACUGUGACAUCUGUCACCUCAUUGUUCAUGAUGGUUGGUUUGGCUGAUCUGGGAUGGCUAGGUGGCGGGGGGGGGUGCCUUCCUCCCUCAAAGCUCCACAUGUGUCCCUCCUGAAGCUGUGAGCUCAGUUGAAGAGGACAACCUUCCCUGAGAGAUGAGGACUGUUCUUAAGUCAAGGGUAUACAAGCAGCUGCACUCCCCUCCUAGAUCCUCCAAACAAGCUCCCAAAAUAAAGGUGUGUUCAUCAAAGUAAAUGAAACAAAGUAUAGAAAACUGCUUCUAUCCAUUUGAAAUGCAAUUAAGAAAAAAA
rnacentral:snRNA from 1 species